AGCAGCCGCGGUAAUUCCAGCUCCAAUAGCGUAUAUUAAAGUUGUUGCAGUUAAAAAGCUCGUAGUUGAAUUUCGGGAUCAAUACGUCGGUCGUGCUUCGGUACGUACUGGCGUAAUUGAUUUCUCCCUUCUGACGAACCAUGAUGUCAUUAACUUGGUGUCAUGGGAAAUCAGGACUGUUACUUUGAAAAAUUAGAGUGUUUAAAGCAGGCUCACGCUUGAAUACAUUAGCAUGGAAUAAUGAAAUAGGACGUUUGAUUCUAUUUUGUUGGUUUCUAGGAUCGACGUAAUGAUUAAUAGGGAUAGUUGGGGGCAUUAGUAUUCAAUUGUCAGAGGUGAAAUUCUUGGAUUUAUUGAAGACUAACUACUGCGAAAGCAUUUGCCAAGGAUGUUUUCAUUAAUCAAGAACGAAAGUUAGGGGAUCGAAGACGAUCAGAUACGUCGUAGUCUUAACCAUAAACUAAUGCCGACUA
rnacentral:rRNA from 1 species